rnacentral:ribozyme from 1 species
ACCUCCAAGCAUGUGUUGCCCAGCACCACGAGAAGGCCCUGGAGAUGGGUAUUUUUGAGCUAAAGUUGGACUUUGUGCUCGUAAAGUUGGGGGUGGGGAUCGUUGGUUGUUGGUGGUGAUU